rnacentral:sRNA from 1 species
GCCAGGCGUGGUGGCACAUACCUGUAACCCCAGCAACUUGGGAGGCUGAGGCAGGAGGAUCCUGAGUUCAAAGGCUGACUCAGCAACAGUGAGGCCCUGAGAAACUCAGCAAGACCCUGUCUCUA